CUGGAUCAGUUCUAUGUGGGUCAGAAACAUAGAAUUCUCUGGUCUUCCUGUCCCAGAAAUUGGACAUUUUCCACAGCCCUUGGGGCAGUCCUAACACUUCUGGAUACAAGGCCCAAGAGAAGAAACUGAGGUCACCCAAGUCUUCAAGAUGCACAUCCUAGGUCUAGCCAGCCAUCAUAGAGUCUAGGACAAUUGCAACUAUUUUGCACAAGCUCCAAACUUCAGAGAAGGAGAACUUUGAAGAAAGGAGGGACAGGAGAAAGACAAUCCACUGCAUGGCAUUUUGACUUGGUGCCCUUUGGUCUGUUGGACAUUCAUCAUUCAAAUCCAAUAUAUUUGGAGGACACCAGACAAUGGGGUUAUUUUUUUACUUCUCCCCAAAAGGACUACAAAUGCUAGAAUAAAUCCAUAGAGAUGGUCCUGCCACCUACUUCUGAAGGCCUCUGAAGGGCCACUGAUUGCCUCUUGUUCACUAUCAGGUUUUAGAAGCCUUUUAGAGACUCUGUCUAUGGCACCCAACAUUAUCCCUUGGAGGGAAAACUAGACCUUCUUAAUGUCAUAAUUAGCGCUGAAUUUAAAGGCUAAAUCUUCCUGUGCUGAUUAAAACCGACAUUUUAAAUCAUA